CAAAAUAAGUAUUAAAGGUGACGCCUGCCCAGUGUUUAANCGGCCGCGGGAUCCUCCACCGUGCAAAGGUAGCAUAAUCACUUGUCUUCUAAAUAAAGACUAGUAUGAAUGGCCAAAUGAAGAUUUACCUGUCUCUUGUAGUCCAUCUAUUAAACUGAUCUUUCAGUACAAAAGCUGAAAUACUAACACAAGACGAAAAGACCCUGUGGAACUUCAAGCUAACGCUUUUAGUUGGGGCAACUCUGGAAAAAAACAAAACUUCCAUGGCAGACAUGCCAGNNNNAGUNNNNNNNAAAGAACCAAGCUACCCCAGGGAUAACAGCGCCAUCCCCUCCUAGAGCCCCCAUCGACGAGCGGGGUUUACGACCUCGAUGUUGGAUCAGGGCCCCCAAGCAGUGCAGCAGCUGCUAAAGGUUUGUUUGUUCAACAAUUAAUGCCCUACGCGAUCUGAGUUAAGACCGGAGCAAUCCA
rnacentral:rRNA from 1 species